rnacentral:misc_RNA from 1 species
GAUGAAGAACGUAGCGAAAUGCGAUAAGUAAUGCGAAUUGCAGAAUUCAGUGAAUCAUCGAAUCUUUGAACGCACAUUGCGCCCGCCAGUAUUCUGGCGGGCAUGCCUGUUCGAGCGUCAUUUCAACCAUCAAGCCCCAGGCUUGUGUUGGAGCCCUGCGGCUGCCGCAGCCUCCCAAAACCAGUGGCGGGCUCGCUAUCACACCGAGUGCAGUAGUUUACUCUUCGCUCAGGGCGUGUGGCGGGUGCUAGCCGUAAAACCCCCAACUUCUCAAGGUUGACCUCGGAUCAGGUAGGAAUACCCGCUGAACUUAAGCAUAUCAAUAAGCGGAGGA